UGGAUUUAUGUUUUUGUUAUGUUCUCUGAGCUACAAUUUCCAUGUUGUCUCUUGUGGACAUUAUUCAAGGACUCACCUCUUUUCUGGGAGCAGAGGGUUCUGCUGGUGCUGACACCAUGCUCAUGCAACAGUGCAACAUGAUACGUGUUAACAAGUAAACUGAGAUACUAACCAGCCUGAAGGAUUCGUUUAAAGCCUUUUGUUUUACUCUGGCCUUCUCUUCUACCUCACCGGACACUGAAUGUUGAGUCAUCUUAGCUAGGAACCUGCUUCCUGGCUCAGCCAUGUCCCUCUGCUCUGAGCUGAGUACUGAGAGCCUGCCAGUCAGCAACUGUUUUUCUGUUUGUGAUCCAUAACUUGAGACCACCAAACAAAUCAUAUGUUCUUUUCUCCACUUCUCAAAUCAGUCUUAAUUUUACAGUCACUGAAAUGCGAUUCUUUAGCGUGCUUUUCGUUGAUAACGUGGUUCAGACAGCGUUUUUUUUUUCUAUGCAAAUGAAUGAUUAAGGGUGUGUUUAUACUGUAUCUAUUUAUGCUUAAAAGUGGGAGUGGGAAAAAAAGCUCAUGCACAUGCGCCCAAUUCCACGCCGAUUCAAAUUUAUAAAACAGAACCAGGUCUAUGUAAGUGAGGCUUUAUAAAUCUGAUGAAAACAAUGCAUACGCUCACUUCUCUCUUCAUGCGUACUGUUUUAGUCAUGAAUAUACACAGAAUUUUAUGCAACUGGCCCUGCUUUGCUGAGUCCAGAGUUCUGAUUUCUGUUAUUAAAAAAGUGAAUGUUUUUUCAUUGUUGUAACUGAAGUGAUGAAGCUCUGAGACUUGUACAUGCAGCUAAAUUCAAAGAGUUCACUUUUGUGCCACCGUAGUCUCUCCAUGAUUCAUUAACUUGGGGAGAGGGUUUCACCCCUGGGCCACCUUUUAAAUGCCAAAUUAUGCACAUAAAGCAGCAGCUAAAAUCUCAUCUCACUACCAGUCAAAGUUUACAUACAGGUUUCUAUACAAGCCUUAACCACACUGACACAGCUCCGUUAACGAACAAAUAAGAGGCACUUCACACUACUGAAUAUUUCUGCUUCCCCUGUGCUAAUGUGUCUAUUAAUGACUGCACAUUAGAUCAAGCAUUUAAAGCAGCAGAGCUUGCAACUGGGAUGGAAACAUUUGAUGUCCAGCUGUAACAGCUAUGCUGCUCUCUACUUGCUUUAAUUUGAUCCUCAAUAACAGACCAAAAGCAAUUACUGCCUUAGCCGUGCUCCCUCUCAUAUCUAUUUUACUGCUGUUUUAUAACAUCACUGAAGGGGUUUAGUUAGGUUUAUUGAGCAAAGUAUUGAGUUGUGCUCAUGAUUUUUGCUUUUGUCAGACAAAGAAACAAGAGAAAAUUGUUUGAGAAAGUGCAAUUUAGACUUGAACAUGUUUCCUGUGGCAAGCAGCUGUAUAACUAAUGUUUUAAGGAAUGGUCAAUCCAAAACUCUAAUCUUCAAUGUGAACUUGUGAACUCUGGAAAAGUAAGUGCUUUAUUGAAAUGUUGACCAUUUUAAAUGACAAAAGAACCCAGAAAAUUUAUACCCGAGGCUCUCCAGUCGCCCUUUCCACAUGCUUUAAUUCAUUUUCAAUGGUGUACUGAAUGUUUGCGAUAAGCUAAUUUAGAGGAGGGCAAAUCUGUCUUUCUUUUUGGCCAUAAUGAACUGUGGUGUUUGUUAACUAACAGGAAACAUGUGACCACAUGAAAAGCAACAAAUCCCCAAAAAUUCCAGUUUCAGUGAAUGUUGGGAAGGUGCUUUUUGUGAUACGAUUUCCUAUGGGCAUGAGCCUCAGGGCAAAGAUGUGGAAAUAUGGCCAAAUGUAAAUGUGGACUGCCUGUGAAAUGAUACCACAUUGC